GGGGGCGACAUGGCUUCGACGGGGAUUGGGAUAGCUUGUGCUGCAUGCCGAGCUUCUGCUAACUCGUAAAACUGGCGGAGCACACACAAGUGCCACAAAUGACUUUGCACUCGCUGCCUAAAUAGAGCAGCGACGGCUCCUUAGACCCCGCCCGCGGGUUUAAACGAGGCGACACAAUGCGGGCUGGUCCGAUGGCGACGCCCUGAACGCCUGAGGACGAGAAAACAUUCGGGGCUGGCGGUGAAAACCCUGUCUAUCGGCAACUUCAGCGCGAGACAAAACGAUAGACUAAGCAUGUAGAGGCCUUGUGAGUCUCUUUCUCGGACCCGGGUUCGAUUCCCGGCGCCUCCACUC
rnacentral:tmRNA from 1 species